rnacentral:rRNA from 1 species
GACGAACGCUGGCGGCGUGCUUAACACAUGCAAGUCGAACGGAAAGGCCCUGCUUUUGUGGGGUGCUCGAGUGGCGAACGGGUGAGUAACACGUGAGUAACCUGUCCUUGACUUUGGGAUAACUUCAGGAAACUGGGGCUAAUACCGGAUAGGAGCUCCUGCUGCAUGGUGGGGGUUGGAAAGUUUCGGCGGGUGGGGAUGGACUCGCGGCUUAUCAGCUUGUUGGUGGGGUAGUGGCUUACCAAGGCUUUGACGGGUAGCCGGCCUGAGAGGGUGACCGGCCCCAUUGUGCCUGGGAUACCGCCCAGACUCCUACGGGAGGCAGAAGUGGGGAAUAUUGCACACUGGGCGGAAGCCUGAUGCAGCAGCGCCGCGUGCUGGAUGACGGCCUUCGGGUUGUAAACCGCUUUCGCCUGUGACGAAGCGUGAGUGACGGUAAUGGGUAAAGAAGCACCGGCUAACUACGUG